UACGAAGGGGGCUAGCGUUGUUCGGAAUCACUGGGCGUAAAGGGCGCGUAGGCGGCGCGACAAGUCAGGCGUGAAAGCCCCGGGCUCAACCCGGGAAUUGCGCUUGAUACUGUCGGGCUUGAGUCCGGGAGAGGAUGGCGGAAUUCCCAGUGUAGAGGUGAAAUUCGUAGAUAUUGGGAAGAACACCCGUGGCUAAGGCGGCUCUCUAGUACGGUACUGACACUGAGACGCGAAAGCGUGGGGAGCGAACAGG
rnacentral:rRNA from 1 species